AACGAUCUAGCAAUAGAUAGUGGCGAAAGGGUGAGUAACGCGUGAGCAAUCUACCUUCGAGUGGGGAAUAACCUUGGGAAACCGAGGCUAAAACCGCAUAAGACCACGGCCUGGCAUCAGGCUGUGAUCAAAAGUGGGGACCGCAAGGCCUACUGCUUGAAGACGAGCUCGCGUCCUAUCAGCUUGUUGGCGGGGUAACGGCCCACCAAGGCUUUUGACGGGUAGCUGGUCUGAGAGGAUGGUCAGCCACAUUGGGACUGAGACACUGCCCAGACUCCUACGGGAGGCUGCAGUCGAGGAUCUUUUGCAAUGCCCGAAAGGGUGACAAUGCGACGCCGCGUGUGUGAUGAAGGUCUUCGGAUCGUAAAACACUGUCGGCCGGGAUGAAUCUCUGGAGACUGAAUAGGUUUUCAGGGUGACAGUACCGGCAAAGGAAGCCACGGCUAACUCCGUGCCAGCAGCCGCGGUAAUACGGAGGUGGCAGGCGUUACUCGGAUUGAUUGGGUGUAAAGGGCAUGUAGGCGGUGUGCUAAGUCGAAUGUGAAAUCCCUUGGCUUAACCAAGGAACUGCAUUCGAAACUGGCGUACUUGAGUGAUGGAGAGGAAAGUGGAAUUCCCGGUGUAACAGUGAAAUGUGUAGAUAUCGGGAGGAACACCAGUGGCGAAGGCGACUUUCUGGACAUCUACUGACGCUGAAAUGCGAAAGCUAGGGGAGCGAACAGGAUUAGAUACCCUGGUAGUCCUAGCCGUAAACGAUGUGCACUAGGUGUCGGGCCCUCUGGGCUCGGUGCCGCAGUUAACACUUUAAGUGCACCACCUGGGGAGUACGGUCGCAAGACUGAAACUCAAAGGAAUUGACGGGGACCCGCACAAGCGGUGGAGCAUGUGGUUCAAUACGACGCUACGCGUGGAACCUUACCAGGACUUGACAUGUAUUUGAAAGCCUACGAAAGCUAGGACCUGUCCU
rnacentral:rRNA from 1 species